UACGAGGGGUGCGAGCGUUGCUCGGAAUUAUUGGGCGUAAAGGGUAGGUAGGUGGUCUCAUUUGUCUGGGGUGAAAGCCUUGAGCUUAACUCAAGAAGUGCCCUAGAAACGGUGGGACUAGAGUCUGAGAGAGGGUCGUGGAAUUCCCGGUGUAGCGGUGAAAUGCGUAGAGAUCGGGAGGAACACCAGCGGCGAAGGCGACGACCUGGAUCAGCACUGACACUCAACUACGAAAGCAUGGGGAGCAAACAGG
rnacentral:rRNA from 1 species